rnacentral:rRNA from 1 species
CCUACGGGGGGCAGCAGUGGGGAAUAUUGGACAAUGGGGGCAACCCUGAUCCAGCCAUGCCGCGUGUGUGAAGAAGGCCCUCGGGUUGUAAAGCACUUUCAGUGAGGAAGAACGCCUGGUGGUUAAUACCCAUCAGGAAAGACAUCACUCACAGAAGAAGCACCGGCUAACUCCGUGCCAGCAGCCGCGGUAAUACGGAGGGUGCGAGCGUUAAUCGGAAUUACUGGGCGUAAAGCGCGCGUAGGUGGCUUGAUAAGCCGGUUGUGAAAGCCCCGGGCUCAACCUGGGAACGGCAUCCGGAACUGUCAAGCUAGAGUGCAGGAGAGGAAGGUAGAAUUCCCGGGGGAGCGGUGAAAUGCGUAGAGGUCGGGAGGAAUACCAGUGGCGAAGGCGGCCUUCUGGACUGACACUGACACUGAGGUGCGAAAGCGUGGGUAGCAAACAGGAUUAGAUACCCCAGUAGUC